UCCAUUCCCGUCUUCUCUGCUGCAAGAAAUUGCAUAGAGGGAGAGAAAUGAAGACGAGAGGGUUUAGCAGUCGCAGAUCGACAUUGCCGAUAGCGUCUCCUGAUUCUCCGAAGGGAUCUCCGUCAUCCGGCGUACUUGACAAGACUCACUCGUUUUUUAUGAACGAAAUCAGUAGCAACAAGAGCACACCUCCUCCGACUCGUCGACAAGGUCCCCUUCUCGCAAAACCCUAACCUCCGUCUCCGAUCUCGAGGAUCUUCCGUCUUCGCGCCUCGACGAUCUGAGGAGAAAUCUUAUUCAUCGGUUGCACGUAGAGAUUCUCAAGGACGCGAAAGCCUCCCACUCUCGCCUCCAGCUUGAAGAAUGAAUAACUCAGUAUGCACUGAGUGUUCUUUGGUUGCUAAUUUUCUACUCAAAUCCACCGUGGUCAACCUUGCCAUGUAGGUUUUAUUUCUAAAUUCAUUCUUUCAAGGCUUUCUGUUAAUCAUGUUGACAACUCUGAUUCUGAAUAAAUAGUACAAAGGCAAAUAUGUUGUUUAAUCCGGAUAUGGAUCUAAAAACUAAUCCAAAUCACGUACUUGUUUUAAGAGCUUUAGACGGUUGAUGUAAUUUUGUUGGAUCAUUUCAUGGAGAGUUUUUCCUUUUAUUUGAUUGCAUAGUUCUUGUUACUAAAACUUAAUUGAUUAGAAAUAAUUUGUUAGAAUGGAUUUUUAAUCUGCAUCAUUACAAUCUUUCGGAGGUUUUUUUCCCACUCUAUCACAUAUCUCCGUCUUGUAGUAUAUUGAUUGAUUAUUUGGUGAUAACUAACAGGAGCUUCAAGUUCUGUUCAUGGCAGAAUGAAUUCAAAUUGUACGGCUGGUUGUAAUUUUACACCUAAUUUUUUUAUUUAGGAUGCUAAACUUCCUGAACUUAGUCUUGAUGUGCAUUUUGCACCUCUGUGCAGCUUGACCAAUCUGCUGAGCAUAAUCACUCAAAGUUUAGGUUCAAAACCUGAGCAAGAGAACCUAUCUUAAACUGAAGAAGCAAAGUUUUGUUUGGUUUGCCUAGUUUUAGCUCUUUGCCACUAGGCCCACUACCAUAACAAUGAUUACUUUAAUCCAUUUCGUCCUAAUACGUUUCUUUUAGAUACCUCCUGCAGCAUACUUUCACUGGCACAAGGCAUUUGGUGUCUUAAAAAAACUAUUUACGAGGGCCAUCGAACCAAGGUGUUGGCAUGGUCCCUUCUAGAACUUGAAAGUUUGGUGAACUGUUGGAAAAGAUAAGAGAGCUUUGACUAGUGAAUCCCCUCAAGCUCUACUUUUAGAGUCCAUAGAAUGCCAUAUCUUUUAUUCAGUCUACUACUCCUUUGCUUCAUGAACUUGUUUUAUUAUUGGUAAUUUGGUAUGUUGAGUACUGUAUCCGGUUGAAACACUUCCACUUUUGGCUACUACUAGAUAGCUGAAACUUUAUGCAUUAAAUAGUUGCUUUGGGCUAUAUUAACGUGAAAAUUUUCUUAGCAUAUCCCAUGCCACCUUUGGGCCAGUGGCAUAUCCAGGAUUUUACCUUGACAGGGGCUUACUACCUAAUUUCAAUUGAUACUAUUAAAAAAUUAAGUAUACAUAAAAAUAACUGAAAGAAAAUUUUCACGAGCCUUACUUGAAUGCAAAAUAUAUGCAUGAAAAGAUUUUUGGAUAUUUUAUUCAGGUAAUCUAAUGAUUAGGUUAGUUGAUAGUUAUAUGGUUUGAAGUAACAUCUAUGACAGUACUACUGGAGAGAGUAUACUUAUGUAUUGAUAGCAAUUGAAAUAUGUGGGGUGUUAAUCAUUCUCAUGGCAACCUUCGGCGGUGUGGUCCUAUGGGAUGAUUCCCAAAAUGCAAUUGUGUGCUGUAAUUAUGCAUCAUUCAAGAUGGGAAUUUUUCUUCACUUGGAACGCACCAAAUCCCAUUAUUCCAAGCUUAUGCACUUGUUAGGUGCAGUUUUAGAUAAAAGCAUCCCAGCAAGUGAUGGGUGAAACAGAGAAAAGAAUAUAAGAAGAUCAAUGGGCAGAUCAGUGAAAUUCAGGAAACAAUGAAGGUUUCAUAUGCAGAGUUAGUGUCAGAGGCACAGACUGCCGUAUUUCAUGGAACACUAGUGUUAUUUUUCUUUUUUCUAUCUCUCAUAUUUUUGAUAUUAUAAUGACUCGAACUCAAAGGACCUGAACUUUAAAUUGUGGCUGCCUAAUAUGAUGAACCUUUUUAGCAUAUUUUGCCUGUCCUGUUGAUGAAUUUCAUAAGAUGUCCUAUUUCAAAUUGUUGCAUGUAAAUUAAAUCUCAACUGAAAGAUAACUGAAUCUAAACUGCUGCAUUUGAAGGGGUUGUCACCUGCCUGUUCUGUUAAAAAGGUUUUCAGAGUAAUGCCAAUCAUAUACAGAAUUUUAAAUCCUUUUCUCUGUGCAUGUCUAUUGGCUAACACUUCCCGUGCACAGAUUGGCUACUUAUUUUCCCAUUCUUUUUGUGCUUUUAUGAUUUAUUCCAGUUUUAAUCUUUCAGAUCAUGCAUUUGUUUUCCUUUCAUUCUGACCUUGUCCGGCAUUAUCAUGCAGAUACAAGCUUCAAUCCUUUUGUUUGUAACAUUGUUUCUUCAUUCAAUUU